GUAGAAUACAGCUCCUGGGGAAGUAGCUUUUCCUCACCCUUGGGAUCUGAAGGAGGAAGUGGUUAUGGGGUAGAAGUACCUCCAUGAUGUGAUCCCAGGUGCCUUUGCAACACAGGAAGUGCAGCCACUGCUGGGUGGAUCUGGGAGAGGAAGGAUCUGAGCCCGGACCUGAACGUCCUUGUGUGCCACGGCGCCCUCCCUGGUCCUCAAUCCUGAUCGCCCUUGACCGAAGGACAGCAGAUGGCCAUGGUGUGGUCUCAGUGAAAGCAGCAAAACCACCCAUAGUGACAUUUUCAAAGGGAAAAUCGGAAGCAAGGCAAGAAAGACAGGGGAUCUCAUGUGGCAGGAAUUGGGUUUCUGCCCUCCUUCCACAAGUGCUCGGUGAGGAACUUUUUCAGCUUUGCAAAGCAGCAGAGGUCUCAGCACUCGUGGUCCUGGGAGGGUGUGAGAUCUGCAAGAAAGCCCUGAGGUCUACACGUGCAAAUGUCCUGCGAGGGAGCUCUCCUGCACGUGCACCUCAGGGGUGGCCUCCCGGCAGUGUUUCUGUUUACAAAGAAGAGCCCUCCCACCCAUGCCUGUGACGGUGGUAUGGGAGCAGCAGCGUGAGGCUGCACUAGUCGGAGAAGCAGUGAUCAUUCAGACUGGCAAGGGGUUAUUACCAAAGUGCACCGAGGACCAGCUCGCUUAGCCUGCCGGUCGGGCAGGGACUGCAGGAGCCGUUGGGACACACUUUUAGGUGAGAAGAGAUUUGGGGGAAACAAGAUUAACGUUCUUCCUGUCCUGAGCUGAGUUUUCUCUCUUCUGGCUCGCUGACCACAGAAGUGAAGAGAUUCGAACUUGGGAGCUGGUCCCACUGGAUCUAAGGAAUGGUUUUCUCUCAAGGCUAGGAUCACACCACGGAUUAUGACUCCAGAGAGAUACAACUGGAGCUUAGUCUGUAUCUCACCACUUUAAAAGUCCUCUGCUCCUUCUGCAGUUAGAAUCACAGACUCGGAGACGAGAGCCCACUGUGUUCUUCUUUUCGAGCAAAUGAAUAAAACUUCUGUUUAUUUUU